rnacentral:rRNA from 1 species
ACUCCUACGGGAGGCAGCAGUGGGGAAUAUUGCACAAUGGGCGCAAGCCUGAUGCAGCAACGCCGCGUGAGCGAUGAAGGCCUUCGGUCGUAAAGCUCUGUCCUCAAGGAAGAAUAAAUAGACGGUACUUGAGGAGGAAGCCCGGCUAACUACGUGCCAGCAGCCGCGGUAAUACGUAGGGGGCAAGCGUUAUCCGGAAUCACUGGGGCGUAAAGGGGUGCGUAGGCGGUUUUCAAGUCAGAAGUGAAAGGCUAUGGCUCAACCAUAGUAAGCUUUUGAAACUGUUAAACUUGAGUGCAGGAGAGGAAAGUGGAAUUCCUAGUGUAGAGGUGAAAUUCGUAGAUAUUAGGAGGAACACCAGUGGCGAAGGCGACUUUCUGGACUGUAACUGACGCUGAGGCACGAAAGCGUGGGGAGCGAACAGGAUUAGAU